ensembl:piRNA 21ur-337 ncRNA
UAGUGGAAACCUCAACGCUGA